ensembl:lncRNA
GGGGUAAACAGGUUCACAUGUGCUGAAGUGUUCCUGUAGUUAUCCGCUGCAAUCCUCUUUCUUGUUUAUGCCUUCGAAAGCAUCAUCUGUAAGUACUUGUUGACUUAAGAGUAUAGAGUAGUGAUGUGACGUUCUGUAUCGAGGCUUCGAAGCUUGUGUCGAGUAAUUGAGGGAGCGUUUCCGCGAUGCACGUAUCGAGGCUUGCUUCAUUUAUGGGAGGAGCUGAAAAUGAUGACGUCCGAAGCCUCGCUGCCCGGCUGUACCACGUCACUGGUUCAUGAAGUGGUUCAAACUUUGCCGCAAGCUAUGAUAGAGAUAUAAACCCCUCAGACUUCAUUCAAAAUGUGGGUGUUUGAUGGAGAGUUGCGGUUAGUGAGAGUUUGGAGACAGUUUGGAGGUUUAUGAGAGUGAGGAGAGAAAGUCAGGAGAGAAUGGAGCCGGCUAAGAAGAGGAGGAUGUCCUCCCCUGUGUGGGAACAUUUUGAUCUUAUUCCUCCCAACAAGGUGAAGUGUUUGCUAUGUGCCAGGGAGCUGGGAUAUAACAACAAGACCUCAUCCAUGCUUAGGCACUACAGAGCUUUGCAUGAGAAUAAGGGGAACACCGAUUGUGGAGCAAGACCAGGAGAACAAUCUCAAAUAGAUGAAGACCUGGUUAGCAUGGUGAUUGAGGACUCCCAGCCAUUUAGCAUUGUGGAGGACAAAGGAUUUAAAAGAUUUGUUAAAUCAUUAAAUCCUAGCUAUGUUCUCCCCACUAAAAAGGUCAUAAAAGCAGUGGAAAUUUAGUUUUUACAGAAUAAAAUGUGAACAGGCAGGACUGAGGCUCAAAG